CUGACCUUGUCUCAGUUGGUAGAGCAGAAGACUAGUUGCUGUAAUCUUUAGGUCGUUGGUUUGAGUCCGGCAGGUCUGA
rfam:Brassica rapa chromosome A8, whole genome shotgun sequence.